UUUUAGGAGGACAUCUUAUUCUAAAGAAAUAGCAAGUAAUUGCAAUCAAAGACCAUCAGAAAGCUUCUACAGUGGACAUUUAUACUGGAUGCACACAUGUUGCUCGGUUUUCUGGAGUCCUCUUACGGCUACCCGCUUCGCAGUGUCACAGGACCCGUACUGCCAAGCCUCUGUGGGAGCGUGUGUAUAGCUACUCUGGUGUGAGGACUGACGUCCAUUCUUGGUGAG